rnacentral:rRNA from 1 species
AUUGAACGCUGGCGGCAUGCUUUACACAUGCAAGUCGAACGGUAACAGGCCGCAAGGUGCUGACGAGUGGUGAACGGGUGAGUAAUGCAUCGGAACGUGCCCAGUCGUGGGGGAUAACGCAGCGAAAGCUGCGCUAAUACCGCAUACGAUCUAUGGAUGAAAGCGGGGGACCGUAAGGCCUCGCGCGAUUGGAGCGGCCGAUGUCAGAUUAGGUAGUUGGUGGGGUAAAGGCUCACCAAGCCAACGAUCUGUAGCUGGUCUGAGAGGACGACCAGCCACACGGGGACUGAGACACGGCCCAGACUCCUACGGGAGGCAGCAGUGGGGAAUUUUGGACAAUGGGCGCAAGCCUGAUCCAGCAAUGCCGCGUGCAGGAAGAAGGCCUUCGGGUUGUAAACUGCUUUUGUACGGAACGAAACGGUCCGGGUUAAUACCCUGGGCUAAUGACGGUACCGUAAGAAUAAGCACCGGCUAACUACGUGCCAGCCGCCGCCGUAAUAC